GGAGGGUCAAUACCUGGAUUAGAUUUGCUCAACACCCUGCAGUGCUGUGUGCCCCUCACCAAGGCAAAGCUGUACAGCUCUAUUGCUGCAGCACUUCCCAUUGCAAAUACGUUUCACUUGGUUAAGGACACUCACCUCAGCUUUUCUGUGCUGUCUUCCCUGGUUCCUCCCGCCAAACUUAACCAUGUCUGUGAAGCAGGAGAUACAAUCACAGAACCGUCUGAGUUAGAAAGGUCCCCUAAAGGCCUGUGGUCCAACUCCCCUGCACUGAGCAGCGAUGCCCUACAGCUCCAUCAGGUGCCCAGAGUCCGGUCCAGCCUGACCAGAGCGCAUCGCAUCCUCCCCUUAGCGAGCUGUGCAGGCUCUGCCUGCUGCUUCCCCGUCAUCCUGGCAGCGCUCCUGUCCCUGCAGUGCCUGCAGAGCCCCGGGGCCGCAGUGCUCGGGCCACGCAGCUUGUGCCGCAGCGGGAGGGUGCGCCCUACACCCCUACACCCCUCAUCCGUCCGCACCUGUCCGUGCAUCCAUCCAUCCAUCCAUCGCUCCAUCCAUCCUCCCAUCCGUACCCACUCACCCCGUGCCUGUGCCCACCGCCCCGUGCACCCCAGCUCCCCCCUCCCCGUCCGUCCCAACCCCCUCCGUUACGUAAGGCGGCGGCGCGGCGCCUUUAAGAGCGGGGCCGGGCGGACGGUGCGCCGCCCCGGGAGCUCCCGGCGGAGGGGGGAGGUCGGGACCGGGACCGGGACCGGGAGCUGCCGAGCGGAGCCCCCAGCACCGCGGGGCCGGCGGGGCACCAUCCGGGGUGCGGGGGUAGCGGAGGGCGGGGGGCUGAGCCCGGGGGUGCAGGAAGGAGGCGGCGUGGCGCCGGGGGUGCAGGAAGCGGGGGGUUUGGCGGAGGGCGUGCAGGAAGCGGGGCUGGGAGCGCAGGGCCAGGAGCUGGUGGCCGGAGGGAGGGAGGCGGAGAGCGGCGGGGCCGGGGGCGUUGCGGGGCGGCCGGGGCAGUGGCAGCGGGUGGCGCUGGGGGUGCGGGCGGGGCUGCAGGAGCGGGGAGAGCGGGCGGCCCCCGCCGUGGGCGUGAAGGCGGCACGGAGACCCCGAGAGCUGUGCGGGAACGGGGGGCGGAGGGCGGCCAGGGGCGCGGACGGCGGCAGCCCCGGGGGGCGGCGGGGGAGGGUGGGAGGGCGCGGGGUGCAGGAGCGCGGCCCCAAAGCGCGGCAGGAGCAGGGCCUGAACCGCAGGGCGCAGCAGGAGCGAGGGCAGCGCGGGGACGGGGGCAGCCCCACGGGCAGAGCACGCUGGUGGGUCAGGAGGGGGCGGCAGGAGGAGGGCGAGGCGCUGCGAGGGGUGCAGGAGGAGGGAGAGCUGUACCGCGGGGAGCAGGAGCAGCUGCCCGGCACGUGGCCCCCACGGAGGCGCGAGGCCGGGGUGUGA
rnacentral:lncRNA from 1 species